AUUGAACGCUGGCGGCAGGCCUAACACAUGCAAGUCGACCGAGUGGCGGACGGGUGAGUAAUGUCUGGGAAACUGCCCGAUGGAGGGGGAUAACUACUGGAAACGGUAGCUAAUACCGCAUACCAUCGGAUGUGCCCAUAUGGGAUUAGCUUGUAGGUGAGGUAACGGCUCACCUAGGCGACGAUCCAUAGCUGGUCUGAGAGGAUGACCAGGCAAACUGGGACGGAGACACGGUGCAGAGUCCUAGGGGAGGGAGCAGGGGGGAAUAUUGCGCAAUGGGGGCGAGCCUGAUGCAGACAUGCCGCGUGUAUGAAGAAGGCCGUCUGGUUGUAAAGUACUUUCAGCGGGGAGGCGUUACCCGCAGCAGAAGCACCGGCUAACUCCGUGCCAGCAGCCGCGGUAAUAC
rnacentral:rRNA from 1 species